AACAGCCAAUCACAUGCUGAGACUGAGUUUAGGUGUGACAUCAGUAGCGAACAGCCAAUCACAUGGUGAGACUGAGUUUAGGAGUGACAUCAGUAGCGAACAGCCAAUCACAUGCUGAGACUGAGUUUAGGUGUGACAUCAGUAGCGAACAGCCAAUCACAUGCUGAGACUGAGUUUAGGUGUGACAUCAGUAGCGAACAGCCAAUCACAUGCUGAGACUGAGUUUAGGUGUGACAUCAGUAGCGAACAGCCAAUCACAUGCUGAUCCUGAGUUUAGGUGUGACAUCAGUAGCGAACAGCCAAUCACAUGCUGAGACUGAGUUUAGGAGUGACAUCAGUAGCGAACAGCCAAUCACAUGCUAAGACUGAGUUUAGGAGUGACAUCAAUAGCGAACAGCCAAUCACAUGCUAAGACUGAGUUUAGGAG